CCUCGACGUCUACGCCUCCUACAAGUACCAGCAGAUCACCGUCGCCGCAUCGCUCCCGCCAGUCUACCAGGGCCACGGCGACGUCGACGUCUGGUCCCCGGUCCUCGCGGGGCCCAGCGUCCCCUUCGCGCCCUACCUCGCCGACGCGCUCAGCCAGGACUGCCAGGCGGGGUACCUCAUCCUCCAGGUCAAGAUCGACGGCCGCGUCAGGUGGAAGGUCGGCAGCUGGAUCUCGGGACACUACCAC
rnacentral:lncRNA from 1 species